UUUGAUCAUGGCUCAGAACGUACGCUGGCGGCACGCCUAACACAUGCAAGUCGAGCGAGGUAGCAAUACCUAGCGGCAGACGGGUGCGUAACAUGUGGGAAUCUGCCUUUUGGUUCGGAACAACACGGGGAAACCUGUGCUAAUACCGGAUAAGUCCUUACGGAGAAAGUUUUAAUGCCAAAAGAUGAGCCCGCAUUUGAUUAGCUAGUUGGUGAGGUAAAAGCUCACCAAGGCGAUAAUCAAUAGCUGAUUUGAGAGGAUGAUCAGCCACACUGGGACUGAGAUACGGCCCAGACUCCUACGGGAGGCAGCAGUGGGGAAUCUUGCACAAUGGGCGAAAGCCUGAUGCAGCGAUGCCGCGUGAGUGAAGAAGGCCUUUGGGUUGUAAAGCUCUUUUGUCGGGAAAGAUAAUGACUGUACCCGAAGAAUAAGGUCCG
rnacentral:rRNA from 1 species